ensembl:lncRNA
GGCUCAUGACCUGAUGAGAACUGCUGGUGGGUGAUGGCAGUUUAAGUGAUCCCUACAGUUCUGCUCAGUUGCACUGCUCUGCUUAAUACAUGCCCUUUAAGGAACUUGAUUGCAGCAGCUGCGCAGUCACUGACAUUCUGUUUUUUUGAUGUCCUCUGUCCGUUCGUUCUUCUGUCUCGAUGAAGUGAAUUUGUAGAUCCCAAGCUUCAUCCAGCUAAAUAACGCAAAACCUGGGCAUCAUUCAUCAUUCCCAAACUUCAUUUUCUGCACCAGCUCAUACCACUCCAGACAGCAAGAACUUUGACACCAGCUUUCUUGAUGGAGAGGUGCUCCAGCCCUCUGAUCAUCUUAGUGGCC